AUUGUUUCUUUCUGAAUGGUUUUGAUAAUCUCUGGCAACUUUUUGAGAUAAGCCAAUCAGAACGCGAGUAUCGAGUCAUGUGACCUCCGGUGAGGUUCGGAUCAGAAAUUUCAAACAAAUAUGGCGGCCGCUCAGUGUCAGUGGAGUGAAGAGAUGGAGAGAUUCCUCAUCUGUUUUUAUGCCGGCAUCUGAUGGAUGAACCUGAAGUGACACUCCAUCAUCUGUGUGUGCAUCAGUUCAGCCGGAGGAUCUCCACUUAUCCAGUGGAAGCGAUCUGUCUGUAGUGUGUCUCGUAACAGGGCAGGAUGGUUGGUAGUAGGGCC